UACAGAGGGGGCAAGCGUUGUUCGGAAUUACUGGGCGUAAAGGGCGCGUAGGCGGCCUUCUAAGUCGAACGUGAAAUCCCCGGGCUCAACCCGGGAACUGCGUCCGAUACUGGAAGGCUUGAAUCCGGGAGAGGGAUGUGGAAUUCCAGGUGUAGCGGUGAAAUGUGUAGAUAUCUGGAGGAACACCGGUGGCGAAGGCGACAUCCUGGACCGGUAUUGACGCUGAGGCGCGAAAGCCAGGGGAGCAAACGGG
rnacentral:rRNA from 1 species